CAACCCUUAAGCCUAGCUUAGUGUUGGGAAUCUACGCAGACAUAGCUGCUCUGUAGCUAUGUUGUAGUUCCUGAAAUCAAACGGCGGAUUUAUUAGCAUCCUCUGAGCGUAGUAAUCUUUGAUCUCGCUUUUGAAAUCUAGUAAAACUUGCCGUUAAACCCCCAAUUUUUAAU
rnacentral:misc_RNA from 1 species